rnacentral:rRNA from 1 species
CCGGGGGAUAACAGUUAGAAAUGACUGCUAAUACCGCAUAAGACCACGAGGCCGCAUGACCUUGAGGUAAAAGCUGAGGCGAUACAAGAUGGACCCGCGUCUGAUUAGUUAGUUGGUGGGGUAACGGCCUACCAAGACCGCGAUCAGUAGCCGACCUGAGAGGGUGAUCGGCCACAUUGGGACUGAGACACGGCCCAAACUCCUACGGGAGGCAGCAGUGGGGAAUAUUGGGCAAUGGGCGCAAGCCUGACCCAGCGACGCCGCGUGAGUGAAGAAGUAUUUCGGUAUGUAAAGCUCUUUAAGCAGGGAAGAAAACGACGGUACCUGCAGAAUAAGCACCGGCUAAAUACGUGCC